rnacentral:tRNA from 2 species
GCGCCCGUAGCUCAGCCGGAUAGAGCACCAGAUUCCUAAUCUGGGGGUCGCAGGUUCGAGUCCUGCCGGGCGCGCCA